CACCUUGGCAAGGCCCCGGGAGCAGGGACCUUUUCUCUCCCACUAUACAGAUGGGGACACUGAGGCGCUGGUUCUCAAUCUAUGAAAAAAUGGGGUGCUGCCGGGCGUGGUGGCGGGUGCCUGUCGUCCCAGCUACUCGGGAGGCUGAGGCAGGAGAAUGGCGUGAACCCGGGGAGACGGAGCUUGCAGUGAGCCGAGAUGGCGCCACCGCACCCCAGCCUGGGCGACAGAGCAAGACUACGUCUCAAAAUAAAUAAAUAAAUAAAUAAAUAAAUAAGCCAAGGAUGAUGAUGCACACCUGUAGUCCUAGCUGCUUGGGCGACUGAGGCAGGAGGAUGCCUUGAACCCAGGAGUUCAUGUAGGUUGCAGUGAGCUGUAGUUGCACCACUGGAGUCCAGCCUGGGCAACAGAGCAAGACCCUGUGUAAAGAACAAAAAAAGUUUAUGUAACAUUUUAGAAAUGGAAUUAGGGUUAGGGAUGAGGGUGCGGGGAGGGUGCACAAACAGCAAGAGAUCCUGAUGGUGAUGGAAAUGCUCCAUGUCAUGAUGGUGGAUACACGAAUCUACCCAGGCCAGCAAAUUAUAGGAGACUAAAGACAUCUCACACACUCACACACACGAUCACAAGUUAAACUGAGGAAUCCUGAGUAAGAUUGAUGGAUUGUAUCCAUGUGAAAUCUUACUUAUAUGUUUUUUAGAGAUGGAGUGUCCUUAAUGCACCCCAGGCUGGAGUGCAAUUUUGUGAUCUCAGCUCACUGCAGCCUCUGGGGUUCAAGCGAUUCUCCUGCCUCAGCCUCCGGAGUAGCUGGGAUUACAGGCGCCCACCACCACGCCCGACUAAUUUUUGUAUUUUUAGUAGAGAUGGGGUUCCACUAUGUUGGCCAGGCUGCUGUCGAACUCCUGACCUCGUGAUUCACCUGCCUUGGACUCUCAAAGUGCUGUGAUUACAGGCGUGAGCCACCACACCCGUUUUUGUUUUGUUUUGUUUUGUUUUGUUUUUGUUUUGAGAUGGAGUCUCACUCUGUUGCCCAGGCGAGAGUGCAGUGGUGUGUUCUAGGCUCAGUGCAACCACCGCCUCCCAGGUUCAAACGAGUCUCCUGCCUCAGCCUCCCGAGUAGCUGGGACUACAGGUGCCCGCCACCACGCCCGGCUAAUUUUUUGUUGUUGUUGUAUUUUUGGUAAAGAGGAGGUUCCCCAUGUUGGCCAGCCUGGUCUCGCACUCCUGACCUCAGGUGAUCCACCUGCCUUGGCCUCCCAAAAUGCUGGGAUUACAGGCAUGAGCCACAGCACUCGGCCCUUCCCUCCUUUCUUUCUGAGACAGGGUCUUGUUCCGUCACCCAGACUGGAGUGCAGUAGCAGGAUCACAGCUCAAUGCAACCUAGAAGAAUUCCUGUCGUCCUGUGCUCAUGAGAUCCUCCCUCCUCUUGCAACUGCAUAUGAAUUGACAAUUAUUUCAAUAAAAUUUUCAAUUAAAAAAUUAUGAGGGCUGGGUGCGGUGGCUCACUCCUGUAACCCCAGCACUUUGGGAGGCCGAGG
rnacentral:lncRNA from 1 species